rnacentral:rRNA from 1 species
UCAGUCGACUCCUACGGGGAGGCAGCAGUGGGGGAAUAUUGCACAAUGGGCGCAAGCCUGAUGCAGCCAUGCCGCGUGUAUGAAGAAGGCCUUCGGGUUGUUAAAGUACUUUCAGCAGUGAGGAAGGCGGGUGUGUUAAUAGCACAUUCGUUUGACGUUAGCUGCAGAAGAAGCACCGGCUAACUCCGUGCCAGCAGCCGCGGUAAUACGGAGGGUGCGAGCGUUAAUCGGAAUUACUGGGCGUAAAGCGCAUGCAGGUGGUUUGUUAAGUCAGAUGUGAAAGACCCGGGGCUCAACCUCGGAAUUGCAUUUGAAACUGGCAGACUAGAGUACUGUAGAGGGGGGUAGGAAUUUCAGGUGUAGCGGUGAAAUGCGUAGAGAUCUGAAGGAAUACCGGUGGCGAAGGCGGCCCCCUGGACAGAUACUGACACUCAGAUGCGAAAGCGUGGGGAGCAAACAGGAUUAGAUACCCUGGUAG